rnacentral:tRNA from 1 species
GCGAGAGUGGCGGAACUGGUAUACGCGCUGGAUUUAGGAUCCAGUGGGAUUUCCUGUAGGGGUUCAACUCCCCUCUCUCGCAUCA